CCUACCCUCCGGACGGGUAUAAACCCGGGAAACUGGGUAUAAUCCCCGAUAGAUCUCGGUCGCUGGAAAGCCCCGAGAUCGAAAGCUCCGGCGCCAGAGGAUGGGUCUGCGGCCUAUCAGGUAGUAGUGGGUGUAGCGUACCUACUAGCCUACGACGGGUACGGGUUGUGAGAGCAAGAGCCCGGAGAUGGAUUCUGAGACACGAAUCCAGGCCCUACGGGGUGCAGCAGGCGCGAAAACUUUACAAUGCCGGCAACGGCGAUAAGGGGACCUCGAGUGCCAGGUUACAAAUCUGGCUGUCGUGAUGCCUAAAAAGCAUUGCAUAGCAAGGGCCGGGCAAGACCGGUGCCAGCCGCCGCGGUAACACCGGCGGCUCGAGUGGUAACCGUUAUUAUUGGGUCUAAAGGGUCUGUAGCCGGCCGGAUAAGUCUCUUGAGAAAUCCAGCAGCUCAACUGUUGGGCUUUCAGGAGAUACUGUCUGGCUCGAGGCCGGGAGAGGUGAGAGGUACUUCAGGGGUAGGGGUGAAAUCUUGUAAUCCUUGAAGGACCACCAGUGGCGAAGGCGUCUCACCAGAACGGACCUGACGGCAAGGGACGAAAGCUAGGGGCACGAACCGGAUUAGAUACCCGGGUAGUCCUAGCCGUAAACGAUACUCGCUAGGUGUCGGCCACGGUGCGACCGUUGUCGGUGCCGUAGGGAAGCCGUGAAGCGAGCCACCUGGGAAGUACGGCCGCAAGGCUGAAACUUAAAGGAAU
rnacentral:rRNA from 1 species